CUGGGCGGGCUGGGAGGCGCGGGUUGAAAAGUCUCGUUCCAAGUUUGGAGAGAGAGAGAAGAGCGCCUCAGACCUCGGUACCCGCGAGCGGGGAGGAGGCAGGAAACAAGGACGCGGCGUCUGGGGAGCACCCAGGCAGCAAGACUGGGCCCGGGCUUUCGACCGCGGGGAGUGUGUGACGCGUUUGGGAAAGGCAGGAGCGCCAGUGGUCGGGCUGCUCUUGGCUAACGAGGGAAGUCCGAGGCGGCGGCGAGGGGCGAACGACCCGACGCAAGAUGGCGAGUAAAGAGAUGUUUGAAGAUACUGUGGAGGAGCGUGUCAUCAAUGAAGAAUAUAAAAUCUGGAAGAAGAAUACACCGUUUCUGUAUGACCUGGUUAUGACCCAUGCUCUUCAGUGGCCCAGUCUUACUGUUCAGUGGCUUCCUGAAGUGACUAAACCGGAAGGAAAAGAUUAUGCCCUUCAUUGGCUAGUGCUGGGGACUCAUACGUCUGAUGAACAGAAUCAUCUGGUGGUUGCUCGAGUACAUAUUCCCAAUGAUGAUGCACAGUUUGAUGCUUCCCAUUGUGACAGUGACAAGGGUGAAUUUGGUGGCUUUGGUUCUGUAACAGGAAAAAUUGAAUGUGAAAUUAAAAUCAUUCAUGAAGGAGAAGUAAACCGUGCUCGUUACAUGCCACAGAAUCCUCACAUCAUUGCUACAAAAACACCAUCUUCUGAUGUGUUGGUUUUUGACUAUACAAAACACCCUGCUAAACCAGACCCAAGUGGAGAAUGUAAUCCUGAUCUCAGGUUGAGAGGUCACCAGAAGGAAGGCUAUGGUCUCUCCUGGAAUUCGAAUUUGAGUGGACAUCUCCUAAGUGCAUCUGAUGACCAUUUUAUUCAUGGAGGACACACUGCUAAGAUUUCAGAUUUUAGCUGGAACCCCAAUGAGCCUUGGGUCAUUUGCUCAGUGUCUGAGGAUAACAUCAUGCAGAUAUGGCAGAUGGCUGAAAAUAUUUACAAUGAUGAAGAGUCAGAUGUCACGACAUCCGAACUGGAGGGACAAGGAUCUUAAACCCAAAGUACGAGAGAUGUUUCUGUUGAAUGUAAUGCUACAUUGAAUGCUUGAUUUGUCAAGCGCCAAAAAGGCAUUGUAUAGUAGGAAAUGUUAAGUGGGUUGGCUUAUGGCUUCUUUAUCCUCUGAUUCUAGCACUUUCAAGUGAGCUGUUGCGUACUGUAUCAUAUUGUAGCUAUUAGGGAAGAGAAGAAUGUUACUUAAGAAAGAACAUCGUUGAUUUUAAAUACAAGUAGCAGGGUAUUGCCUUUGAUUCAACUGUUUUAAGUCCUCAUUUUCUCAAACUAAGUGCUUGCUGUUCCCAAAUAUGCAAGAAUAACUUUUACACUUUUUCCUUCCAACACUUCUUGAUUGGCUUUGCAGAAAUAAAGUUUUAAAA